rnacentral:lncRNA from 1 species
AAAGGAACUUAAGUGUAUAAAAUAGAUGAAAUCUGAAGCACAAAAACUCAGUUUUGACUAUAAUGCACUCCUGGGAUUAAGUAAAAGCAAUGACCAACCAGCGCAACUCCUAGGUAUUAAUAGUGGUAAUGAGGAAAACAUUUUGAAACUGGGCUCAAGUUGCACUCAGUGUGCUAACAGUGCAGGCACACUGAAAUGAAUUUAAAUUUUAACAAGCCAAUUUUGAGCUGCAGGCUUCUCAUUAGUGCCCUUUAUCCAAGUGUAAUGUGCAGAACUAGCCGCUAGGGGGCAACCACUUCCUUUAGCAAAAAGAAAGCUGUUUCAAAUACAUAGAUUUAACCACAUUAACAUUUCAUAUAAAGAAAAGGACAAUAGUAAAUGUUAGAGGGAAUGAAGAGAAACUAGGAAAUUAUCAUUUUUCUGGUGAGAAAUGAGAAUGGUUAUAUAAUAUGGUACAACCAUUUUUGGAUAAUACUUUGGCAGUUUCUUUUAAAAUCAAGUUACCACAAAACCCAUGGUAAAUGGAAACGUGUAUAGAUAUAUGCAUAUGAUGUAAUACUAUUCAGUAUAAAUGUAAAUGAGGUGAACCUCAAAAAUAUUAUGGUACCUGAAAGAAGCCAGAAAUAAAGAACUAUAGUAUGAUUUGAAUUAUAUAAAAUAUCUGGAAAAGGCAAAUUUAUAGACAGAAAGCAGAUCACCUGUGCUGAUGAAAGGGGUGUGUAUGUGUGAAGAUGAACUGUGAAAGGGCUUAAGAGAAUUUUGGAGGAAUGAUGAAAAAGUUCCAGAUCUGGAUUAUAGUGAGUGUCACAACACUAUAAAUUUACUGAAUUAUUGAAUUAUAUAUACACUUGGGUGUACUUUGUAUAAAUUCACCAUAAUAAAGGUAACCUAAAAAAACAGGUUAACUUAGUACUGUAUUAGAUUAGAUAUCAAAAAGGAGAUGAAACAGGUAAAAGAAAACUAGAGCACUGUGUAUUAGAAUGUGAUAUAAACAGCCACUGUGUCA